GGGGUUGUGGUGAAAUGGCAGACACAGCUGACUUAAAAUCAGCCGCCGAAAGGCAUGUGGGUUCGAGUCCCACCAACCUAC
rnacentral:tRNA from 1 species